GUGCUUGCUUCGGCAGCACAUAUACUAAAAUUGGAAUGGUACAGAGAAGAUUAGCAUGACCCCUGUGCAAGGAUGACAUGCAAAUUCGUGAAGCAUUCCAUAUUUUU
rnacentral:snRNA from 1 species